GGGGCUCAAGUUUUUUCCAGUCGUUUAUACAAUAUGGAAAUUAAUGUGAAAUUAAAACACAAAGUAUUAAUAGAAAGGUAAUGACUGUCCUGUGUAGGUGACAGUGAUAUCCAAUAGGCUAGGCACUCACGAGGCUGGCUGUGGCAAGUGUAAGUGAAAGCAACACGCACUGGCAGGAAGAACAGCAAACGCCGAUGAAGGAAAAGGGUCUUUGCAGUGAUGGGCGUUAACAGAGAGGGCGAUGGCCAGAGGACACAAAUGGGACGGGGAGGCAGCACGUUGGGGGGGGUGGGGGGGGGGGGGGACGCGACACGGCUCGGGCCCGCCAGUGCCCCAACGGGGUCCUAGUUAUUAGGGCCCGAGCCAGCUGCAGAGCAGCCGGGCGUAGGCCCUGUUAUUCCUGUAGGGGUUUUUCUUUAGGGCCCGAGCGUAGCUGCUAAGCAGCUGCGAGAGCCCUCUUGUUCCUGUAGUUUCCUUCUUUUGUUAUUAUUAUUAUUAUUUUUCCUCCCCUUUGAACUGGAAAAUGGCCCACUUCCCACUGGCGAAAACUCAUGAAAUUUGGCAGGACGACCGGGCCUGGUGAAAAAUUUGAUAUUCCGAAGUCGCCCAAACAAGAAAAUGCAAAAUGGCUCCAUAGCGCCCCCUAAGGUGAAAAUUCACACUAUUCACUGUCACGCCGGUACGCUUUGUCAAAAUGACACAAAAAUUGACACACACAUGUAUCUCAAUAAGAUCUACAAAAAAGUCAGUGCGGGCGUAUCUGUCAAAUGUACGGUUAAAGGGUUAUUUCGCAUUUUUUGCCGAUCCGCACACAUUGGAAUUUCGCUAACUCCUCCGAAGGCUUUCGUUCCACCGGCACCACAUUUGCUCAGGCCAAUCUACACCCCAUGGCCAUUAAAAGUUAUUCAAAUCAUGACGCUGCACCCCACGGUUUAGGUUCUAGGGGGCGCCAAAGAUAACCCUAAGAUCCACAUAUUUAAAAGUCUUAUAACUUUUUAUUUUUGCCCUCACUGGCCUCCAAGUUUUCUAGGAUGAUGCAAUGUCCAGCCAUCAACACAUUUGUGAAGGAAUUUUUACUCCCCAAAAGAGCGCCCCCCCCAUGGCAGGAGAAAAAAGUCCAUUUUUUCUUGUCCCCUAAGGUGAAAAUACACAUUGUUGAGUGUAACACCUGUACGCUUUGGCAAAAUGACACAAAAAUUGACACACACAUGUAUCUCAAUAAGAUCUACGAAAAAGUCAAUGCGCGCGUAUCUGUCAAAUGUACGGUUAAAGGGUUAUUCCGCAUUUUUUGCCGAUCCGCACACAUUGGAAUUUCGCUAACUCCUCCGAAGGCUUUCGUUCCACCGGCACCACUUUUGCUCAGGCCAAUCUACACCCCAUGGCCAUUAAAAGUUAUUCAAAUCAUGACGCUGCACCCCACGGUUUAGGUUCUAGGGGGAGCCAAAGAUAACCGUAAAAUCCACAUAUUUUAAAGUCUUAUAACUUUUUAUUUUUGUCCCCACUGGCCUCCAAGUUUUCUAGGAUGAUGCAAUGUCCAGCCAUCAACACAUUUGUGAAGGAAUUUUUACUCGGCAAAAGAGCGCCCCCCCAUGGCAGGAGAAAAAAGUCAAUUUUUUCUUGUCCACUAAGGUGAAAAUACACAUUGUUGAGUGCUACGCCUGUAUGUUUUGUCGUAUUGACACAAAAUUUUACAUACACGUGUAUUUACAUAAGAUCUUCGAAAAAGUCAAUGGCCACGUAUCUGUAAAAUGUACGGUUAAAGGGUUAUUUCGCAUUUUUUGCAGAUUCGCACACAUUGGAAUUUCGCUAAUUCCUCCGAAGGCUUUCGUUCCACCGGCACCACAUUUGCUCAGGCCAAUCUACACCCCAUGGCCAUUAAAAGUUAUUCAAAUCAUGACGCUGCACCCCACGGUUUAGGUUCUAGGGGGCGCCAAAUAUAACCCUAAAAUCCACAUAUUUAAAAGUCUUAUAACUUUUUAUUUUUGUCCUCACUGGCCUCCAUGUUUUCUAGGAUGAUGCAAUGUCCAGCCAUCAACACAUUUGUGAAGGAGUUUUUUCUCUUUAAAAGAGCGCCCCCCCAUGGCAGGAGAAAAAAGUCAAGUUUUUCCUGUUCAUCAUUCAAUGGCUCAAACGCACUGCUCUCUCGGCAAAAGCGAAAGGAGGAGCAACUUGCCAUUUGGAUAUAUCUUAGCUGUGUUUGUGCCCUCACUCAUGGUCCAGACUUUUUUCAAAUAGGACAUGGAGUUUUUCUGCAGCGAGCGUUUUGGUAGAAACUGCGCCUCCCGUUCAUUAUAAUGGUAAAUGACCACAAACAAGUGCGCACACCAUCUUUGGACCUUGAGUGUGACGUGAUCGGGUGGGGGAGGCGGUCGCGCUGGGGGCGGCGUGACACGGCUCGGGCCCGCCAGUGCCCCAACGGGGCCCUAGUUGUUUCUUUCUUUCUUCUUUUUCCUCCCCUUUGAACUGGAAAAUGGCCCACUUCCCACUGGCGAAAACUCAGGAAAUUUGGCAGGACGACCGGGCCUGGUGAAAAAUUUGAUAUUCCGAAGUCGCCCAAACAAGAAAAUGCAAAAUGGCUCCAUAGCGCCCCCUAAGGUGAAAAUUCACACUAUUGACUGUCACGCCUGUACGCUUUGUCAAAAUGACACAAAAAUUGACACACACAUGUAUCUCAAUAAGAUCUACAAAAAAGUCAGUGCGGGCGUAUCUGUCAAAUGUACGGUUAAAGGGUUAUUUCGCAUUUUUUGCCGAUCCGCACACAUUGGAAUUUCGCUAACUCCUCCGAAGGCUUUCGUUCCACCGGCACCACAUUUGCUCAGGCCAAUCUACACCCCAUGGCCAUUAAAAGUUAUUCAAAUCAUGACGCUGCACCCCACGGUUUAGGUUCUAGGGGGCGCCAAAGAUAACCCUAAAAUCCACAUUUUUAAAAGUCUUAUAACUUUUUAUUUUUCCCCUCACUGGCCUCCAAGUUUUCUAGGAUGAUGCAAUGUCCAGCCAUCAACACAUUUGUGAAGGAAUUUUUACUCCCCAAAAGAGCGCCCCCCCAUGGCAGGAGAAAAAAGUCCAUUUUUUUCUUGUCCCCUAAGGUGAAAAUACACAUUGUUGAGUGUCACGCCUGUACGCUUUGUCAAAAUGACACAAAAAUUGACACACACAUGUAUCUCAAUAAGAUCUACAAAAAAGUCCAUGCGCGCGUAUCUGUCUAAUGUAUGGUUAAAGGGUUAUUCCGAAUUUUUUGCCGAUUCGCACACAUUGGAAUUUCGCUAACUCCUCCGAAGGCUUUCGUUCCACCGGCACCACAUUUGCUCAGGCCAAAUUACACCCCAUGGCCAUUAAAAGUUAUUCAAAUCAUGACGCUGCACCCCACGGUUUACGUUCUAGGGGGCGCCAAAGAUAACCCAAAAAUCCACAUUUUUAAAAGUCUUAUAACUUUUUAUUUUUGUCCUCACUGGCCUCCAAGUUUUCUAGGAUGAUGCAAUGUCCAGCCAUCAACACAUUUGUGAAGGAAUUUUUACUCCCCAAAAGAGCGCCCCCCAUGGCAGGAGAAAAAAGUCCAUUUUUUUCUUGUCCCCUAAGGUGAAAAUACACAUUGUUGAGUGUCACGCCUGUACGCUUUGUCAAAAUGACACAAAAAUUGACACACACAUGUAUCUCAAUAAGAUCUACAAAAAAGUCCAUGCGCGCGUAUCUGUCUAAUGUACGGUUAAAGGGUUAUUCCGAAUUUUUUGCCGAUUCGCACACAUUGGAAUUUCGCUAACUCCUCCGAAGGCUUUCGUUCCACCGGCACCACAUUUGCUCAGGCCAAAUUACACCCCAUGGCCAUUAAAAGUUAUUCAAAUCAUGACGCUGCACCCCACGGUUUACGUUCUAGGGGGCGCCAAAGAUAACCCAAAAAUCCACAUUUUUAAAAGUCUUAUAACUUUUUAUUUUUGUCCUCACUGGCCUCCAAGUUUUCUAGGAUGAUGCAAUGUCCAGCCAUCAACACAUUUGUGAAGGAAUUUUUACUCCCCAAAAGAGCGCCCCCCCAUGGCAGGAGAAAAAAGUCCAUUUUUUUCUUGUCCCCUAAGGUGAAAAUACACAUUGUUGAGUGUCACGCCUGUACGCUUUGUCAAAAUGACACAAAAAUUGACACACACAUGUAUCUCAAUAAGAUCUACAAAAAAGUCCAUGCGCGCGUAUCUGUCUAAUGUACGGUUAAAGGGUUAUUCCGAAUUUUUUGCCGAUUCGCACACAUUGGAAUUUCGCUAACUCCUCCGAAG